rnacentral:rRNA from 1 species
CCUACGGGUGGCAGCAGUGAGGAAUAUUGGUCAAUGGACGAGAGUCUGAACCAGCCAAGUAGCGUGAAGGAUGACUGCCCUAUGGGUUGUAAACUUCUUUUAUAUGGGGAUAAAACGUUCCACGUGUGGGAUUUUGUAUGUACCAUAUGAAUAAGGCUCGGCUAACUCCGUGCCAGCAGCCGCGGUAAUACGGAGGAUCCGAGCGUUAUCCGGAUUUAUUGGGUUUAAAAGGAGCGUAGGUGGAUUGUUAAGUCAGUUGUGAAAGUUUGCGGCUCAACCGUAAAAUUGCAGUUGAAACUGGCAGUCUUGAGUACAGUAGAGGUGGGCGGAAUUCGUGGUGUAGCGGUGAAAUGCUUAGAUAUCACGAAGAACUCCGAUUGCGAAGGCAGUUCACUGGACUGCAACUGACACUGAGGCUCGAAAGUGUGGGUAUCAAACAGGAUUAGAUACCCUGGUAGUC